CCUACAGCUGCGCACCCGCCAGAAUGGGCGUGUCGGGAUGAGAAAGGCCAAGGCCCCGCAGUGAUGCACAAACGCCACAGGGAUUAGUGCCGGAAUCUACACGAAGGCAGCGUGGACUCUUGACCUUGCAGCGCGGAGUCAUGCAACUCAGAGUCGCCGUUGGACAAGGUGUAGCUUGCCAGGUUUUUGGAAUGAGCCCCUCGCACCGGACCUGAUCUCAGGAUCCUGGUCCUUCGGUGCCAUCUGGUGGUGGCUUUGUUCCAUAGCAGCGGCUACUGUAAGAGGCGCUCAGCCUGGUAUCUCAGUACCAAGGCUGUGCUAAAUUCUCUCUCCCUCUCCCUCUCCCUCUCCCUCUCUCUCUCUUUCUCUCUCUCUCUCCCUCUCUCCUCUCUUUAAUUAAACUCUUGGCACUCUCUGGCCAGUCUUCAAGGGGAAUCAGAUGAAUUCCAGUAUAUGAGCCCGGAAGAGUGAGUGGGGAGAGUUGGCCCCAAAUUCAAAGAUGCAUUCUGAAGUCUCCUGAAGUCUCCUGGAUUCUCAGUCUCCCGCUGAGUUCCAGCGCUCUCACCCUGUAAGAACCCCGCGAUUGGAAGUGUGUUGCCCAUGGCAGAAAUAAAGCGACAUUCAAGUAGGAGCUCAUGAACUGCCUGGCCGCCGCCGCCGGCCUUACAAAGAGAAACCGUCUUAGGUUCACAAUCAUUUAAAGGAGAAGGAUACAGUGAACAAAUCCCACCGGGACUACUUGGCAGUCGAGGUGCCCUGGGCCGCACAGAAAGGCUCACUAUGAAUGUGUCUACUUGGAAGCCGAGGUACAUAAGAGGCUGCUAAGGCGAUGAGCGCUAUGGCCUUGGACAGAGCAGGAAGGAGAGAAAAGAAUGGAUCUCCAAAGCAGAUGGAAAACUCCCGCCUACAUCUGGAUUCCUCUCUUAGUUCUGCACAUAAAAUGAAAAGUAGGGAAUCCCACUUAAGUGGAACUUCAUUGGAGGUUUUGACUUUCAUUCAGACACAUCCCUGAUAGGAACAAAAAGAAGACCUAUAGGAAGUACAUGGAGGACCACUAACAAGAAAUUCUGGUGAAAGAUAGGCUAAGAACCAGGUAACACCAGAAACAAAACAACUCCAGGGUCUUCAGCAGACAUUGACCUUGGACCAUUCAACUCUUAACUGACUUUACUCUUGGAUCAUUAUAAUAAAGAUAUUAUGAUUAUCAUGAUCACA